rnacentral:misc_RNA from 1 species
AAGGCACGUUCCCUACUUCCUGCAUUUUCCAUCAAAGGUACAUGGUUAUCAGAGAAUGGGGAGGUAGUGAAUAAGGAAAUGCUGAUUUAAUAGGAAAAUAUGUGCAGAAAAAUCAUUCUCAUCAUCCAUUCAUGUAGUUAGAGAAUACAUUAUGCAGUUUCCUUGCACAUGGUUUCAGAAAACAAAACUCCUUUUAUGGGAUGCAACUAAGAACCAAAUUAUGUUAAGUAAUUUCUUAAAUUUAUGCAGAUUUAACAUGAGAGAGGUGACAAGAUAUGCAAUGAAGGCCCUCACUAAUUGGAGAAUAACCAAGCAUAAAAUAAUGGUCUCACAUUAGCCUAGAUUCAGUAUCAAACCUUGUCGUCUCAGCCACAAAAACUUUCAAUCAUUCCUAGAACUUUAAAACUUUUAAGUAAAUGAAACUAUAUCGGAUAAAUACUGAAUAGAGAAAUUAGUACUUUCAUAUGCUUAAUUUUCUCCAUCCACAACUUCCUAAUUUCAAGGAGCACACGCCUUAUGAUACUGCUCAUUAAUAAGCCUAAUUUCUUUCUUCAGCUUCAAAAAUUUAAGAUGAUUGAAACAUUUGAGGAAUU